UCCUACGGGAGGCAGCAGUAGGGAAUCUUCCACAAUGGACGCAAGUCUGAUGGAGCAACGCCGCGUGAGUGAAGAAGGCUUUCGGGUCGUAAAACUCUGUUGUUGGAGAAGAAUGGUCGGCAGAGUAACUGUUGUCGGCGUGACGGUAUCCAACCAGAAAGCCACGGCUAACUACGUGCCAGCAGCCGCGGUAAUACGUAGGUGGCAAGCGUUAUCCGGAUUUAUUGGGCGUAAAGCGAGCGCAGGCGGUUUUUUAAGUCUGAUGUGAAAGCCCUCGGCUUAACCGAGGAAGUGCAUCGGAAACUGGGAAACUUGAGUGCAGAAGAGGACAGUGGAACUCCAUGUGUAGCGGUGAAAUGCGUAGAUAUAUGGAAGAACACCAGUGGCGAAGGCGGCUGUCUGGUCUGUAACUGACGCUGAGGCUCGAAAGCAUGGGUAGCGAACAGGAUUAGAUACCCUGGUAGUCCAUGCCGUAAACGAUGAAUGCUAGGUGUUGGAGGGUUUCCGCCCUUCAGUGCCGCAGCUAACGCAUUAAGCAUUCCGCCUGGGGAGUACGACCGCAAGGUUGAAACUCAAAGGAAUUGACGGGGGCCCGCACAAGCGGUGGAGCAUGUGGUUUAAUUCGAAGCAACGCGAAGAACCUUACCAGGUCUUGACAUCUUUUGAUCACCUGAGAGAUCAGGUUUCCCCUUCGGGGGCAAAAUGACAGG
rnacentral:rRNA from 1 species